UACGUAGGGGCCAAGCGUUGUCCGGAUUUAUUGGGCGUAAAGAGCUCGUAGGCGGUUGGGUAAGUCGGGUGUGAAAACUCCAGGCUCAACUUGGAGAUGCCACCCGAUACUGCUCUGACUUGAGUUCGGUAGGGGAGUGGGGAAUUCCUGGUGUAGCGGUGAAAUGCGCAGAUAUCAGGAGGAACACCGGUGGCGAAGGCGGUUCUCUGGGCAUGAUCUGACGCUGAGGAGCGAAAGUGUGGGGAGCGAACAGG
rnacentral:rRNA from 1 species